UCUUGCUUUUUAAAACCUCCCACUGAUGAUCGCGUAAUGAGUGGCGGCACUCCGCCUUCCUCUCACUUCCCCACUGCAGCCGCGCACAGUCAUCAUGUCAUCACCGUCUCUCCUCCCAGCGGGCGGCUGACACUGAGGAAGAUCCGGCUGAGCGGAAGCGUGUCAGUGCUGCAUCUUUUUUUUUGUGCUUCAUGUUGCUGCUCUGCAUCAGCCAAACGCCGCCAUGGAAACUCUGUCAAAGCCACGUUAAGAAAACACUCCUGCUGAAGAAGAUCAUUUUUUUUCUUGUUCCCCAAACACAAUUUGUGCUGCAGAGGGUUGUGUUGGAACGCCAUGGUAACCGGCCAAAAAACAACGAGAAUAAACGAGGUGCGGAGACGAACGCAUGACCAGCGCAUACGUCCCAUGCGUCGUGCGAUGAAACCUUUUCGGUUAGACUGUUGCUCUGCGCGCUGCUGAACACCCUAAUGAAUGCUGCUGCCUGUUCCCCAGAGAAAGCGCCCACUGUUCGCCUGCAUCCCAGAGGACGAGGCAAGGUGCUGCUGGCUGGCUCUUUAAUAACCGCCACCGAACGCGGCGCCUCCACAAAGCUAUCUCUGAGGGAUUAAUCCACUUCAAAAACCAAUUAAUAGGAGGCGCGGGUUAAACUGAUGCAAGCAAACAGCCAAGAGGUAAACAAGACAGUUUCGGGCUCACUCUCUGCUGCUUCUAGUGCCGUCAGACGGAGGGAGAGUUUAGAGGCCAGAAGAAAAAUGCAACCUCUGAGGUCAAAAGUGCAUUGAAUUGUCAUAAAGAUGUAAAAACUCUGAAAAAUAAAAGUUUAUUGUA